rnacentral:tRNA from 1 species
GUCCAGGGGCGAGAAUCGAACCCACAACCUUCUGCUUACCGGGCAGGUGCCAUGUCCACUAGGCUACCCUGGA